rnacentral:rRNA from 1 species
CCUACGGGUGGCAGCAGUGAGGAAUAUUGGUCAAUGGGCGCGAGCCUGAACCAGCCAAGUAGCGUUAAGGAUGACUGCCCUACGGGUUGUAAACUUCUUUUAUAAAGGAAUAAAGUGCGGCACGUGUGCCUUUUUGUCUGUAUUUUAUGAAUAAGGAUCGGCUAACUCCGUGCCAGCAUCCGCGGUAAUACGGAGGAUCCGAGCAUAUCCGGAUUUUUUUGGUUUAAAGGGAGCGUAGAUGGGUUGUUAAGUCAGUUGUGAAAGUUUGCGGCUCAACCGUAAAAUUGCAAUUGAUAAUGGCAGCCUUGAGUACAGUUGAGGUAGGCGGAAUUCGUGGUGUAGCGGUGAAAUGCUUAGAUAGCACGAAGAACUCCGAUUGCGAAGGCAGCCUACUAAACUGCCACUGACAUUGAUGCUCGAAAGUGUGGGUAUCAAACAGGAUUAGAUACCCUUGUAGUC